rnacentral:sRNA from 28 species
GCUCUGGACUGUUAUAUAAACGAAAGUAGGAGUUCCAAAAUCGGACAGGAUGAACGAGCAA